GACGAACGCUGGCGGCGUGCUUAACACAUGCAAGUCGAACGGAAAGGCCCUGCUUUUGUGGGGGGCUCGAGUGGCGAACGGGUGAGUAACACGUGAGUAACCUGCCCUUGACUUUGGGAUAACUUCAGGAAACUGGGGCUAAUACCGGAUAGGAGCUCCUGCUGCAUGGGGGGGGUUGGAAAGUUUCGGCGGUUGGGGAUGGACUCGCGGCUUAUCAGCUUGUUGGUGGGGGAGUGGCUUACCAAGGCUUUGACGGGUAGCCGGCCUGAGAGGGUGACCGGCCACCUUGGGCCUGCGAUACGGCCCAGACUCCUACGGGAGGCAGCAGUGGGGAAUAUUGCACAAUGGGCGCAAGCCUGAUGCCGCAACGCCGCGUGCGGGAUGACGGCCUUCGGGUUGUAAACCGCUUUCGCCUGUGACGAAGCGUGAGUGACGGUCAUGGGUAAAGAAGCACCGGCUAACUACGUG
rnacentral:rRNA from 1 species